rnacentral:rRNA from 1 species
AAGCUCGUAGUUGAAUUUCGGGAUCAAUGGAUUGGUCAUGCCGAUGGUAUGUACUGGUCAUAUUGGUUCUCACCUUCUAAGGAACCAUAAUGUCAUUUAUUUGAUGUUGUGGGGGAUUAGGACUGUUACCUUGAAAAAAUUAGAGUGUUUAAAGCAGGCUAACGCUUGAAUACAUUAGCAUGGAAUAAUGAAAUAGGACAUCGCAUUCUAUUUUGUUGGUUUCUAGGAUCGAUGUAAUGAUUAAUAGGGAUAGUUGGGGGCAUUAGUAUUCAAUUGUCAGAGGUGAAAUUCUUGGAUUUAUUGAAGACUAACAACUGCGAAAGCAUUUGCCAAGGAUGUUUUCAUUAAUCAAGAACGAAAGUUAGGGGAUCGAAGACGAUCAGAUACCGUCGUAGUCUUAACCAUAAACUAUGCCGACUAGGGAUCGGAUGAUGUUAAUUUUUUAAUGACUCACUCGGCACCUUACGGGAAACCAAAGUGUUUGGGUUCCGGGGGGAGUAUGGUCGCAAGGCUGAAACUUACAGGAAUUGACGGAAGGGCACCACCAGGAGUGGAGCCUGCGGCUUAAUUUGACUCAACACGAGGAAACUCACCAGGUCCAGACAUAGUAAGGAUUGACAGAUUGAGAGCUCUUUCUUGAUUCUAUGGGUG